rnacentral:lncRNA from 1 species
CUGACUUUUAUGAAAUGCCUACGUUUUUCUUGUGAAUGUGUUAUGUAUGGGUUAUGAAGGUGUCAUGACAUCAUUAUGUAGGUACCCUUGAAAUAAAGUGUUACAUACCCCUCUCUCAAACAGAAAAGCAACAUUGGCAUCUUUCCUUAUUUUCUAUUUCCUCUGUGUUAGAUCUUAGCUAUAGCAUGCUGAGUUUUCCUUGGCUUGUCACCCUCUUCCUGUGUAAAGGCUGUUGUUGGAAACAUUAAGUAGGUCAACGGCAGCAAUAGAAAAUAGGAAGCUGCUUUUCUCUGUCAGUUUCUUGGCUUUGUUGGCGGGCCAAACAAGCAAAGAAUGGGCUCAUCAAAACACGUUCCCCCACCUCGCGGCCGGCCACCCUCCCGGCCCUCCUGCGGAGCGUCUCGCCACAGAAACAGAGGCAUUCCAAGGCACGGAAGAAAAGGGAGACGGAAGAGAGGAAGGAGUGCCAGGAGAGGCACUGGAGGACGAAGAGAGAGAGAGAAAGGAGAAAGGAGGAGAGGGCAGCAGCAGCAUAUUGGAGGAUGCCGGGGGGUACUCCGAGGACCAGCCCCUCGUCCCGCCCCCCUCAGUGGACUCUCCUUGCUCUCCGGCGAGCCCCCUGGGGCCCGGCACUCCCACGCCUCCUCCCCCUUUAGAUGCCUUCUUCAGGAGACUAGGGAGUUUGUUCCACUUCAAGGCUGAACCAACCAGAGGAGCCCAGCCGCAGGAGGAACAGCAGCAGGCAGAGGAGGAAGGAGGACAAGAGGAGGAGGAGGAGGAGAAGACAGCAUUAGCAGUGGUGUCUAUUGAGCCAGACCUCUCAGGAAUGACAUGUGGUGCAGAGGUGGACCAGGACCACCGUGACUCUGCCGGGAGGCUGGCGGGAAACAAGGACACUCGGCACACAGAGACAGAGGACAGGAGAGAGGGAGAGUCUGGCUUACCUGGUGUAGCGACGUCCACACGGAGUCAAACGCACACAGACCUGGAGAAACCAGCCUUAGAGGAGACGCAGACGGAAGGCCACAGGGAAGGAUGCGGAGAGGGCGAAGCAGCGGCAGACAGCGGCCCGUUGCGCGAAGGUGAGGCGGAGGUGGAUGAGCGUCAGCGGCGGCUGGCCCUGGCCUGUCCGCCUGUGGUGACGUACGGGACGUACCGUGGCCAGAGAGACAGACGCAGGAUGAUGCACCAGGUGCAGGUGGACUUCCCCAUCUCAGAGGGGGAUGAGGCCCUGCAUGGGAGGGGUUCAACCUCAGGGCGGGAGGGCAGCCCCUUGGGUGGGGUGACACCCUCCGCUUUAGAACUCACCAUUUCAAAGCGGAGUGACAUUCAGACCAUAUCGACCAAUCAGAUUAGCGCUCCAACCUCAGAGACCAAUGAGAGAGGGGCUUGGACUUCCGAAACAGACUCUGCUGUUUUGGGUCCAACUGGACUUGGCUCUAGUCACAUUCCACUAACAACGCAGACAGCAGAAAGGGCUGGGAGUCAAAGCACCUUCCCUUUAUACAGGGAGGCAGGCCUGCCUACUGUAGGAGCUCAGUUCAAGGACUUUCUCUCUGGGGCUGGCUCAGUCACAGUCCCCCCUCCCGCACCCACAGAGGACUUUGUUGAUGCCAGGACUAGUACAGCAGGCAGUGAGACCCACAGUGGGGAGCAGAGCCCCCGGGAUAGAAUCACUCAUGCGGAGAUGGCCAGCGAGGAUACACACAGGGACACAGACAGGGACAGAGACACAGGGCUGAGUGAGCAGACAGAAACCUUAUCUACACACUGUGUCCAGACUGGGUCACCUUCAUUAGCUGCUGCGUGGCUCAGCGAGCCGCCAGGCACCGAGGGGACUGCGCAGCACACUCAUCUGCCUGCUGCUGUUUCCGAUGUCGAUGGAGGCCAGCUGGCUCCGCAUCCCAUUUCACCGUCCGCCUCGCUUGCAUCAGCGGACGAAAGCCAGGGACCCAUGCCAGCAACUAGGCACUCCGAUUCUGGGGAUGUACUGGAUUCAGGC